rnacentral:tRNA from 1 species
GGUAUGAUACUCAAGUGGUUAAGAGAACAGACUGCAAAUCUGUUAUUCGGGGGUUCAAAUCCCUCUCAUACCUCUA